GGGGGGGCGAAGCGUUGUUCGGAAUUACUGGGCGUAAAGGGCGCGUAGGCGGCCCAGAAAGUCUCUUGUGAAAUCCCACGGCUCAACUGUGGAACUGCAGGGGAAACUACUGGGCUUGAGUCCGGGAGAGGGUAGCGGAAUUCCCAGUGUAGCGGUGAAAUGCGUAGAUAUUGGGAGGAACACCGGUGGCGAAGGCGGCUACCUGGACCGGUACUGACGCUGAGGCGCGAAAGCUAGGGGAGCAAACGGGAUUAGAUACCCCGGUAGUCCUAGCUGUAAACGUUGAGCACUUGGUGUAGCGGGUAUCGACCCCCUGCUGUGCCCGUAGCUAACGCAUUAAGUGCUCCGCCUGGGGGAGUACGGUCGCAAGGCUG
rnacentral:rRNA from 1 species